GCAAGUUUUUCUCACCCGACAACUUCAAACAGUCACCACCUGAUGACAAGGACAAGCCACCAUCAACCAGUGGCUCUGCUGUGUCACUGUCACGAAAACCUUCCAACAAUCAGGACAUCGACUCUGUGUGGCGACGUCCACAAGCUUCUCAGGCAAGAGUUCGAGAAAGACUGGUGAAUCUCCUGACUUGCUUUGGCCAGCGUGUUGGUCUUCCCAAGAGUCCAUCUGACACAGUUAUCAAUAAGGUAAGAUUUAUUUACAAAGCAAAAAAAAAUAUGAAAUAUGAAAUUUUGCA
rnacentral:sRNA from 1 species